rnacentral:rRNA from 1 species
CCCCUGCGUGCCGCAGCUAACGCAAUAAGUAUCCCACCUGGGGAGUACGAUCGCAAGGUUGAAACUCAAAGGAAUUGACGGGGGCCCGCACAAGCGGUGGAUUAUGUGGUUUAAUUCGAUGCAACGCGAAGAACCUUACCAGGGCUUGACAUCCUACUAACGAAGUAGAGAUACAUUAGGUACCCUUCGGGGGAAGUAGAGACAGGUGGUGCAUGGUUGUCGUCAGCUCGUGUCGUGAGAUGUUGGGUUAAGUCCCGCAACGAGCGCAACCCUUAUUGUUAGUUGCUACGCAAGAGCACUCUAGCGAGACUGCCGUUGACAAAACGGAGGAAGGUGGGGACGACGUCAAAUCAUCAUGCCCCUUAUGUCCUGGGCUACACACGUAAUACAAUGGCGGUAAACAGAGGGAUGCAAAGCUGUGAAGUGGAGCGAACCCCUAAAAGCCGUCCCAGUUCAGAUUGCAGUCUGCAACUCGACUGCAUGAAGUCGGAAUCGCUAGUAAUCGCGGAUCAGCAUGCCGCGGUGAAUAC